CCAGAGGCGCUCAAAGUGAGCAUGCAGACAGUCUCAAAGCUUGCAUUAUCUUCUCCUUGAGAAAUCUUUGAAAAUGCUGGAUAGGGGCCAGCAGGCAAAUUGCAAAGGAAACAAUACAGCGUGAACCAUAUGCACUUCUCAGCCAAAAGUAACUCAUCUGGGCUAUUGUCUGUACACAGCUUGAUAUGGAGGGAAUGACUAUAAUCACCCCUGGAUGUUUAUGCGCACACUGUGAUUCUCAAAGAGCAAUCUCUAUUGUGUCUGAAUUUCAGUGUGUUGAUAUUGUUUUAAAAUUAUGUAUUUGUGGCGAGUUGUAAGUCGCUUUGUCACUUUCCUUUGUAGGAAGCGAUGAACUAACUAGAUUAAUUAAUUGAGGUGGUUGUUGUGGCCAUGCUCAACCCUGGAGAAUAUAACACGGAGAGAACUUGGCACUGCUAUAUCUGUGAACUGCCUCUAAUUGAGCCUCAGCCUGAAGGUGUCCUCUUUGUGUACAGCGGUUGUAUGGAGGCAGCCUUGGAUUUGGCAUUAGUGGGAAGGGGGCCUAAACACGUGGGACACCUCUUCCUGAGCAGGAACUCAUGCAUCCAUCUGCAGGCACAUAGGACUCCUGCACACUAAUGCAGAAUGGGUAGCUCCCAGAGGGUGUGGCCAGUUGACACAAUGAUGUCGCGUGCAGGUUGAAUGACUUGAAUUCUGCUCCAUCCUCCACAAGGGGUGCCAACUUGAAUAAAAUUUGGGGGGCAGGUAAGCCCCGCCCCACAUAACCACAUGACACAGUGCACGUGCACCAUUUGAAUGGCAGUGCCCAUCAAAUUUUUUUGGGGGGGGGCUCAAAUAUUUUAAUGCGAAGGCCAAGCCCCCUCAGCCCCUAGGAAUUGGCUCCUAUGAUCCUCCAUGUGUUUGCUGUAGAUAUGGAGGAAAAGAUCCGGAUCCUGCCAAUUUUCAGGUGUAUAUUGCUAGGUUCAUUUUGUGUGUUUAUAUAUAUUAUACACAUAACACCUGUAUAAAACAAGAUGUUAUCUACCUGAAGGCCAGAUCUAUUUCCCUAAGACAAUGAUAUAAAGUUACUCAAAAUAGAAUGGAUAGUAUGUAAAUAUAUGUAUAUAUAAAAGAUAUAAACACACACAGAUAUAUUUUAUUUUCAGUAUCCUUACGUUGCUGUCUUGGAAAAAUAGAUCUGACCUUCAGAUAGAUAUGGUGUUUCCUAUUUUACUUUGAAAUGUGUUAAAUUAAGGAAUACAUGUGUGCGCACAGACACACACACACUUACUUAGCCUCUUGUAUUUUGCAUCCUAGUAAUUUUUCCCUUUACUUGUAAUGCAUGGAAGAGCCUCAUUUCGUGUUUAUUUUAGGGGCUGUUCGGUGACAUACACUUUGAGUCAUUGGAAUAAUUCUCUGUAUUUAAAUCAAAUGCUUUCUUAUAAUCAAUGACCUCCUUAUACAGUGGCAGAUUGCUUCUGCAUAUUUAGCAGCUUGGUUCAUCAUAUAUGGAGAUGGUGUAUUAUACAAAAUCAUGAUUCAAGGACAGAAUUAUUCCCUUGAUUGGACUUGAAAUCUAUUAUUUUUUGUUGUCUGAUGUCAAAACAUCUUCAUAAAUAUUUCUGCAAUUUUAUACCAGUGGUUCACAGGUCCACAUGAUCUUGGGUUCCCUUUGUCACUGUUUUUAGGCUUCUUGUUUUGAAAAUGACAAUAGGGGUUUGCUGUUUAAGUUUUCAGGGAAUUUCUGGCAUGGUAGUUCAUGCUGUGAACAGGUUUUUCUAGUUCUGCUGCUGGGCCUGCCUCUGAUCUUUCUAAUGUUCAGAGCCAUGCAGUCUUCCCUAGGCUCUCAUAUUUUCUUACCCCUGCUCUAAAAAUAGAAGAAAAAGUUAUCCUGCCUAGCUGUGCAGAAAGAAGCCCCACCAGCAGCAAAAUGGACAAAACCCUCCAGUUAUAAUGAAGAUAACUUCUUUGAUCCCUCGUACGCCUCUCCAAACCAAAACACUUCUAAACAAAAUAAAGUCUAUUAGUUAUAGUUCAAAGAGAAAAAGACUUACGAGAGUGACUGGGUUUUUUGUGUUUUUUUUAAUUGAACAUGCAUGAGUUAGUUGAAAGUAUGGUGGAACUUCACCUUUCCAUCAAAGAAAGAAAGAAGAAAUAUACUACUUGUCCAGAUUUUACUGAAUGUAUGAGGUUCUUCAAUAGCCCAUCAAUGAGCCAUUCCUUAUUUCCAUCUCUUUCCAUCUACCUUCCAAAACCAGACAUUUACUGCUUAGGUCAUCACUGAAGGCAGGAGUUAGGACUGAAGAACAAACAGCAGCUGUUUAGGAGGAGCCAAUGGACAGCCUAGAUAGGUGGAGAUUGGCCAUUUCCAGAAGGUUAUUUCUUGAGAGGUUGCAGUUAAGUGGCUCACCACAUGGGGCAGUGGCUAGCAGCUACUGGCAGCCUGACAUCAGAACAGCAAGCACCAGGUGAGCUUUUUAGGCACACCUGAAAAAUACCCUCUCCCUGGUCGCAGCUGUCCAGUUUCAGAUGCUGGUGGUAUCAUUUAGUCAUUUGGUACUUCGAGUUGGACCUGGAAACGAGCUGGUAGCCACUGUAAUUUUAAGAAUUGGCAAGAUAUAUUUUGGUAUAACUGGCCCCAGUUAGUAACCCAAUCACUAUGUUUUAUCACUAAUUACAGUGUGCAAAGUUUGUAAUCAUUGAAGCGGCUAUGAAAAUUUAUGGAACUUAUUGACAAGGGGAAAUGAAAAUAAAUAUGUAACCCGGUCAGAUCAGCAUCCUUGGGCCAUGCACUGUGGGCAGUUGAAUAGCCAUGAAAUUGAAAAGCUGCUUUAGAAAACAUAAACUUUGCACUGAUGUUUCAUACCUGAAACACAACUGAAAGCACCCUACUUACUCAGAAACUAAGUCCCACUGAGUUCAAUGGGAUUUACUCCGUUGUAAGUAUGCAUAGGAUUACAGCCUUUAUUACGUUUAAGUACUCUUGCAAAGGAUUUUAUCAGGAACUGAACAUGCCUCAAACACCAGGCUUAAUUUACUUGCAAAUUUGAAAAAGAACCUUCCCCAAGGUGCUUAUCCCAGUCUUCCCCAACUUGGUGCCCUCCAGAUGUUUCGAACUUAGGUCCCAUCUGUUCUAGGCAGUGUGGCCAAUUCAAGGAUGUUGAGAAUUGUAGGCUAACAGGCACCAAGUUAAGGAAGACUUGCUUUUCCUGUUGCCGUCACCAUAUUAUCAAUAGUUUUUACUUCAGGAGUGAGGAAGUUGUUGUCCUCCAGAUGUUGAACUGCAACUCCCCACAGCCCCAAGCAGGCAUGUCCACUGGUUAGGGAUAAUGGGAGUUGUAUUCCAGACACAUCUGGAGGUGCUCUAUAUUUUGCUUUCUGAGCAAGCCUCAGAAUUUAGUACAGCAUUGGCUGUCCCACAGCUCAGAUCAACAUCUCCUGUCUUUUCUCCCUCGUUUCUAGAAAAAGCCAUCUUACCCCAGUUCCUUUAACAGCCCAACUUCCUCUUGCGCUCCAUUUAAUGCUAACCUGUCUCUGUUCUACUGUACCUGUCUUCACAAAACAGUCUGGGUUUUUUGUAAAGUCUCCUAGUAGCUUGGUUUCUC